rnacentral:rRNA from 1 species
UACGUAGGGUGCGAGCGUUGUCCAGAAUUAUUGGGCGUAAAGAGCUUGUAGGCGGUUUGUCGCGUCUGCUGUGAAAAUCCGGGGCUCAACCCCGGACUUGCAGUGGGUACGGGCAGACUAGAGUGUGGUAGGGGAGACUGGAAUUCCUGGUGUAGCGGUGAAAUGCGCAGAUAUCAGGAGGAACACCGAUGGCGAAGGCAGGUCUCUGGGCCACUACUGACGCUGAGAAGCGAAAGCGUGGGGAGCGAACAGG